rnacentral:rRNA from 1 species
GACGAACGCUGGCGGCGUGCCUAACACAUGCAAGUCGAGCGGAGGUAACCGAGUAGUUUACUACAUGGUUACUCUUAGCGGCGGACGGGUGAGUAACGCGUGAGCAACCUGUCCCUUACAGGGGGAUAACGCAGCGAAAGUUGUGCUAAUACCGCAUAAGACCACGGUGGGGACAUCCCACAGGGGUCAAAGGAGCAAUCCGGUAAGGGGUGGGCUCGCGUCUGAUUAGCUAGUUGGUGGGGUAACGGCCCACCAAGGCAACGAUCAGUAGCCGACCUGAGAGGGUGAACGGCCACACUGGAACUGAGACACGGUCCAGACUCCUACGGGAGGCAGCAGUGGGGAAUAUUGGGCAAUGGGCGAAAGCCUGACCCAGCAACGCCGCGUGAAGGAAGAAGGUUUUCGGAUCGUAAACUUCUAUCCCGGGUGAAGAUAAUGACGGUAGCCCGGAAGGAAGCCCCGGCUAACUACGUGCCAGCCGCCGCAGUAAAAC